UGAGGAAUAUUGGUCAAUGGGCGUGAGCCUGAACCAGCCAAGUCGCGUGAGGGAUGAAGGCCCUACGGGUUGUAAACCUCUUUUAUAAGGGAAUAAAGGACAUCACGUGUGGUGUUUUGCAUGUACCUUAUGAAUAAGGACCGGCUAAUUCCGUGCCAGCAGCCGCGGUAAUACGGAAGGUCCGGGCGUUAUCCGGAUUUAUUGGGUUUAAAGGGAGCGUAGGCCGGAGAUUAAGCGUGUUGUGAAAUGUAGUGGCUCAACCUCUGCACUGCAGCGCGAACUGGUCUUCUUGAGUACGCACAACGUGGGCGGAAUUCGUGGUGUAGCGGUGAAAUGCUUAGAUAUCACGAAGAACUCCGAUUGCGAAGGCAGCUCACGGGAGCGCAACUGACGCUGAAGCUCGAAAGUGCGGGUAUCGAACAGGAUUAGAUACCCUGGUAGU
rnacentral:rRNA from 1 species